rnacentral:rRNA from 1 species
AAUGAACGCUGGCGGCGUGCUUAACACAUGCAAGUCGUACGAGAACUCUUCUGCUUGCAGAAGAUAGUAAAGUGGCGAACGGGUGAGUAACGCGUGGGUUAUUUACCUCCGAAUCGGGGAUAACUCGCCGAAAGGCGGGCUAAUACCGGAUAAUAUCUUUUAUGCUUCGGCGCAUUAGAUCAAAAGUGGCCUCUACAUGUAAGCUAUUGUUUGGAGAUGAGCCCGCGUACCAUUAGCUAGUUGGUAGGGUAAUGGCCUACCAAGGCGACGAUGGUUAGCUGGUCUGAGAGGAUGAUCAGCCACACUGGAACUGACACACGGUCCAGACUCCUACGGGAGGCAGCAGUGAGGAAUUUUGCGCAAUGGGGGAAACCCUGACGCAGCAACGCCGCGUGAGUGAUGAAGGCUUUCGGGUCGUAAAGCUCUGUCAAGUGGGAAGAACAUGUUCGAUAUUAAUACCAUCGUGCACUGACGAUACCACUGAAGAAGCACCGGCUAAC